GGAGCUUGCUCUUCUUGGAUGAGUUGCGAACGGGUGAGUAACGCGUAGGUACCUGCCUUGUAGCGGGGGAUAACUAUUGGAAACGAUAGCUAAUACCGCAAACAAUGGAUGACACAUGUCAUUUAUUUGAAAGGGGCAAUUGCUCCACUACAAGAUGGACCUGCGUUGUAUUAGCUAGUAGGUGAGGUAACGGCUCACCUAGGCGACGAUACAUAGCCGACCUGAGAGGGUGAUCGGCCACACUGGGACUGAGACACGGCCCAGACUCCUACGGGAGGCAGCAGUAGGGAAUCUUCGGCAAUGGGGGCAACCCUGACCGAGCAACGCCGCGUGAGUGAAGAAGGUUUUCGGAUCGUAAAGCUCUGUUGUAAGUCAAGAACGAGUGUGAGAGUGGAAAGUUCACACUGUGACGGUAGCUUACCAGAAAGGGACGGCUAACUACGUGCCAGCAGCCGCGGUAAUACGUAGGUCCCGAGCGUUGUCCGGAUUUAUUGGGCGUAAAGCGAGCGCAGGCGGUUUGAUAAGUCUGAAGUUAAAGGCUGUGGCUCAACCAUAGUUCGCUUUGGAAACUGUCAAACUUGAGUGCAGAAGGGGAGAGUGGAAUUCCAUGUGUAGCGGUGAAAUGCGUAGAUAUAUGGAGGAACACCGGUGGCGAAAGCGGCUCUCUGGUCUGUAACUGACGCUGAGGCUCGAAAGCGUGGGGAGCGAACAGGAUUAGAUACCCUGGUAGUCCACGCCGUACACGAUGAGUGCUAGGUGUUGGAUCCUUUCCGGGAUUCAGUGCCGCAGCUAACGCAUUAAGCACUCCGCCUGGGGAGUACGACCGCAAGGUUGAAACUCAAAGGAAUUGACGGGGGCCCGCACAAGCGGUGGAGCAUGUGGUUUAAUUCGAAGCAACGCGAAGAACCUUACCAGGUCUUGACAUCCCGAUGCUAUUUCUAGAGAUAGAAAGUUACUUCGGUACAUCGGUG
rnacentral:rRNA from 1 species